rnacentral:ncRNA from 1 species
AAAAUCAGAAAGGGGUGCUUCCCGCAAAAGGAGGCUGAGAUUAUACCCAAAGAACCUGGGCGGGUAAUGCUGCCAAGGGAAGUUGUAAAACUUUUCC